rnacentral:misc_RNA from 1 species
AAGUCGUAACAAGGUUUCCGUAGGUGAACCUGCGGAAGGAUCAUUAAAGAGUUAGGGUCUCUCCAGGCCCGACCUCCCAACCCUUUGUUUACCUUGCUGCAUGUUGCUUUGGCGGACCCGUCUCACGACCGCCCUGGGACCGCCGAGAGGUGCCCCUGGGCCCGUGUCCGCCGAUAGCCAACCUAAACUCUUGAAUGAAUCGUGUUUUAUGUCUGAGUCUAUUGAUUAAAUCAAAAGCAAAAACUUUCAACAACGGAUCUCUUGGUUCUG